CAGCAGCCGCGGGAAUACGUAGGGUGCAAGCGUUAAUCGGAAUUACUGGGCGUAAAGCGUGCGCAGGCGGUUCGUUAAGACAGAUGUGAAAUCCCCGGGCUUAACCUGGGAACUGCGUUUGUGACUGGCGGGCCAGAGUAUGGCAGAGGGGGGUAGAAUUCCACGUGUAGCAGUGAAAUGCGUAGAGAUGUGGAGGAAUACCGAUGGCGAAGGCAGCCCCCUGGGCCAAUACUGACGCUCAUGCACGAAAGCGUGGGGAGCAAACAGGAUUAGAUACCCGCGUAGUCCCUGUCUCUUAUAC
rnacentral:rRNA from 1 species